rnacentral:rRNA from 1 species
CAGUCGCCACGGGAAUACAGAGGGUGCGAGCGUUAAUCGGAUUUACUGGGCGUAAAGCGUGCGUAGGCGGCUUCUUAAGUCGGAUGUGAAAUCCCUGAGCUUAACUUAGGAAUUGCAUUCGAUACUGGGAAGCUAGAGUAUGGGAGAGGAUGGUAGAAUUCCAGGUGUAGCGGUGAAAUGCGUAGAGAUCUGGAGGAAUACCGAUGGCGAAGGCAGCCAUCUGGCCUAAUACUGACGCUGAGGUACGAAAGCAUGGGGAGCAAACAGGAUUAGAUACCCCUGUAGUCCCUGUCUCUUAUAU